rnacentral:rRNA from 1 species
UGGGGAAUAUUGGACAAUGGGCGCAAGCCUGAUCCGGCAAUGCCGCGUGUGUGAAGAAGGCCUUCGGGUUGUAAAGCACUUUUAUCAGGAGCGAAACGCUGUCGGCUAAUACCCGGCGGAACUGACGGUACCUGAGGAAUAAGCACCGGCUAACUUCGUGCCAGCAGCCGCGGUAAUACGAAGGGUGCAAGCGUUAAUCGGAAUUACUGGGCGUAAAGCGUGCGUAGGCGGUUUCUUAAGUCUGCUGUGAAAUCCCCGGGCUCAACCUGGGAAUGGCAGUGGAUACUGGGAGGCUAGAGUGUGUCAGAGGGUGGUGGAAUUCCCGGUGUAGCGGUGAAAUGCGUAGAGAUCGGGAGGAACAUCAGUGGCGAAGGCGGCCACCUGGGACAACACUGACGCUGAGGCACGAAAGCGUGGGGAGCAAACAGGAUUAGAUACCCUGGUAGUCCACGCCCUAAACGAUGCGAACUGGAUGUUGGUCUCAACUCGGAGAUCAGUGUCGAAGCUAACGCGUUAAGUUCGCCGCCUGGGGAGUACGGUCGCAAGACU